rnacentral:lncRNA from 10 species
CCUCACCUGCAAGAUCUCAGCAGUCACCUAACUUAUCACCUGCUUCCAUUCCUGUUCUGCUCUGUAGCUGGAAUGUUCUUUGAACAGUAGCCCAGGAGGUAUUGCAUGAAAGAGCACAGAAGGAAAUGCUAGAAAUAAGAAUGACCUUAUUCCAUUCUCAUACACUGCUAAGGUGAUCAAUUCAAGGAUGGGCAUGGGAUCCCACGAAAUGGAACCAUGCCAUUCUCUUCGAGACUGUUGAAAGAGUGGUAUGCUCUCUCUCUCGCUCUCUCCCUGGAUUUUUGAGGGGAAAGUAUGAGUUUAUCAGCCAGAAUUGUGAGAAUAUCAACCUAAAGCUUUUUGUUACCCCUCUCACCACCACAAGAGGAGAGCUUGCCUAUAAAUGAAGUUAACCUGGAGGAAGAUGGAGCUGAGAGAUAAACUGAGACAGGGAUAGAGCCAUGCCAUAUGCUGGCAUUAUCACUGGACCUUUUUUGGAAUGUGAUGUGUGUGUGCAGGAGAGGGCAAUGGUUUUUAAAAAUAUACUAUGAAAUAAUCUGACAAAGGGCUAAUAUCCAGACUCUACAAAGAACUUAAACAAAUUUUGAAGAAAAAAACAAACAACCCCAUCAAA